AGCAGAGUUGAGUGUCUUGGUUCUUACGUUGGCCUGCCUGAGGAAGCCAUCUGGACGGAGGAAAUUUGCCUUAAACCUUGGCAAGAGAACUUUGUUCUGUUUGAACUUUGUUUAAAGCCUCAGAAUCUGAUAGGAAAAAAAAAUGCAAGGACUGUUCUGACAUCCAUUAAUGCAGUUCAGUUAGAGGGACGGAAAGGAAGACACAAAGGAGGAAGAUUCUGCAGUCUCAGGAGAGGUUAAGUCGAUUACUGAAGGACUGAUGCUGAAGCUGAAGCUACAAUACUCUGGCCGCCUGAUUCGAAGAACCAACUCAUUGGAAAAGACCCUGAUGCUGGGCAAGAUUGAAGGCAGGAGGAGAAGGGGACGACAGAGGAUGAGAUGGUUGGAUGGCAUCACCGACUCAAUGGACAUGAGUUUAAGCAAUCUCUGGGAGUUGGUGAAGGACAGGAGAGCCUGGCAUGCAGUCCAUGAGGUCGCAGUCCAACAGUCACAAGGUCUGACUCUUUGAGUCCAAAGAGUCACACACGACUGAGCGACUGAACUGAAUAUAUAUGUGUUGAGCCCCUGAAGAAAGCUUUUUAAAGAAAAGUUAAAUCAUUAUCAGAAUAUUUUGCUAUCCUGUUUUCCAAGGAAAAAUAAGAAACAACAAAUGAGAAACUGAGACACAUCUAGAAAUUGUGUUCUGGAUCUCAAGGUUCUAGUACACGUGACUGAUGAAGAUAUUAUACACUUAAUUUGAUUGCACACAACAUGUAUUUAGGCCUUUAUGAUAA
ensembl:lncRNA